UACGUAGGGUGCAAGCGUUAAUCGGAAUUACUGGGCGUAAAGCGUGCGCAGGCGGUUUUGUAAGUCUGACGUGAAAUCCCCGGGCUUAACCUGGGAAUUGCGUUGGAGACUGCAAGGCUAGAGUCUGGCAGAGGGGGGGUAGAAUUCCACGUGUAGCAGUGAAAUGCGUAGAGAUGUGGAGGAACACCGAUGGCGAAGGCAGCCCCCCUGGGUCAAGACUGACGCUCAUGCACGAAAGCGUGGGGAGCAAACAGG
rnacentral:rRNA from 1 species